rnacentral:rRNA from 1 species
UACGGAGGGUGCGAGCGUUGUCCGGAAUCACUGGGCGUAAAGGGCGCGUAGGCGGCCGUGUAAGUCACUUGUGAAAUCCCGGGGCUCAACUCCGGGGCCGCAGGUGAGACUGCGUGGCUAGAGCACGGUAGAGGCGAGUGGAAUUCCCGGUGUAGCGGUGGAAUGCGUAGAUAUCGGGAGGAACACCGGUGGCGAAGGCGGCGACCUGGGUAGAUACUGACGCUGAGGUGCGAAAGCGUGGGGAGCAAACAGG